rnacentral:rRNA from 1 species
UAGGGAAUCUUGCGCAAUGGGCGAAAGCCUGACGCAGCCAUGCCGCGUGAAUGAUGAAGGUCUUAGGAUUGUAAAAUUCUUUCACCGGGGAAGAUAAUGACGGUACCCGGAGAAGAAGCCCCGGCUAACUACGUGCCAGCAGCCGCGGUAAUACGAAGGGGGCUAGCGUUGCUCGGAAUUACUGGGCGUAAAGGGUGUGUAGGCGGAUAGUUUAGUCAGAGGUGAAAGCCCAGGGCUCAACCCUGGAAUUGCCUUUGAUACUGGCUAUCUUGAGUUCGGAAGAGGUAAGUGGAACUCCGAGUGUAGAGGUGAAAUUCGUAGAUAUUCGGAAGAACACCAGUGGCGAAGGCGACUUACUGGUCCGAUACUGACGCUGAAACACGAAAGCGUGGGGAGCAAAC